rnacentral:lncRNA from 1 species
GCAUGUGAGAACUUUUGGCUGAUGAAUACAAGAUACGCUCAUUCAUUCUCUUCAUUGCUAUGAAAUCAGUUUUUCCACAACCUCCUGCAGAACCUCAACACAUCACUAGGUGGCAACAUCCCUACACCAUAUCGGUUUAGAAACCACGGUUAGGAGGAGCAGCAAAACACGCGGCAUCCCAGUAUGAUUCAGAAGUAAUACAGGCAAGCUGCCGGAGUGAACGCUGAGUGAGGGAAAGGAACGCACCAUCGUUAUCAAAUUCGAUCCGCGUGCAUGGCCCCCGGGCGGUGAUGUCGCAGCUGUACAGCCCUCCCGUUCUGUUGGCUCUCUGCAGUGGAAGUGCUUCUGCCCGCGGGGCCCCCACGAGCAACCUGUUGAUGAAACAGAGGCAAUUUGGAGAUUUGAAUUUAAUAUACGUUUAACAGUUAAAUCAGUCAGAACUAGGAGAUAGUGCGAUUAUUCUUUGUCUAGGAGUCCACUAAUUCUUCAACAGCUUAGGCAGUGAGUGAGAACAAAUGUAGAGUCCUAUGGCUGGUUCAUGCAAAACGCACAAACACAACUAAACAGGGGAAGCCAAAGAGGGGAUACCAAAACGAGGAAAAUAGGCGUUUACAAUCUUUGAGGCCUGGCUGACUCAUGGAACAACUAGGACAAGAAACAAAGACAAAGAACACACACCUGACUGGACAGAGAUAAACCAAGAGCUGAGAGUUUUGGAAACAAGGCUGGAGCUGAGGAAAAGGACUGGGAACACGAACCUGUACAAACAACAAACUCUUACAACAGAAAACAAGCCACUCCUGGCCGUAAAGAAACCCACAAAUCUCAGAAGCAAAAGCAAAACAAAUGAAAAUACAAACCAAAUAGUCUCUAUUACCUUCAUGCCUGUUGGGUCCCAAUAAAGGAAUCAUUCCAAUAA